rnacentral:rRNA from 1 species
UACGUAGGGUGCGAGCGUUAAUCGGAAUUACUGGGCGUAAAGCGUGCGCAGGCGGUUCGUUAAGUUCGAUGUGAAAGCCCCGGGCCCAACCUGGGAACUGCAUUGGAAACUGGCGAGCUUGAAUGCGGCAGAGGGGGGUGGAAUUCCGCGUGUAGCAGUGAAAUGCGUAGAGAUGCGGGGGAACACCGAUGGCGAAGGCAGCCCCCUGGGCCGACAUUGACGCUCAGGCACGAAAGCGUGGGGAGCAAACAGG